ACAACAGUACACCACCAGUGUGACAGUGUACAAGUAUCUACAGUGAUCAUUAAUUACAUAUUUUGACUAUUUUGCAGUGUUUAUUACUUUAGUUUUACAUUACUGUCUUUCCAGAUAUAAAUCAUUAUUUGUGUCUUCUAUUUCAUAUAAUAAUUAUAAUUUAGGAAAAUCCUAUUCAAAAUUGUGUAUAUAAAAGAUAUACAUGUAUUCAUUAAUCUUGAAAAAAUGUCAAUUAAUCAGCUUGUUACUUUGUCAGACAAAGAUGCAUAAUUACAGUAGUAAGAAACAUUAUCCUAAAAUUGUACAUAUUCUUUAUUUUUAUACUGUCGUGUUAAAUACUGUUAGUAUAUAUAAAUAGUGCCUGUUUUGGAGGGUAACUGUUGAAAUUGAUACUCCGAGAAAACCAUUGUCAACCGACCCUCCCAAACAGACACUAUUUAUUUUAUUAUACUGAGUGUCUUAAUUUUAAAGAAAAUUUUACUGCUUUUAUAUAGAUAUGAAGUGAAUUUUACGGCGAACUGUACGCGCAUAAUUUUCGCGCAUGUAACAAUUCGUUGUGUUACCCGUUGCCAAGUGUGUUGGUAAUGCUGAGGGUAAUAGAACGAAUUAUUAACUUCAUCUAAACCAAUCAGAUUCCAGUAUUUAACAUGAAAGUAUAAUAAAACAAAUUGUAACAUGCACGAAAAUUAUGCGGUAGAAUUCAAGUCAUUCCUAUAGAAAAGCAGUUACUGUAGAUUUUUUUUUUAAAUUAAGACAUUUAGUAUGAUAAAAUAAAUAGUGCCGGUUUGGGAGGGUAACAAUUGACAACUUCGCGUCAGUUGACAAUGCUGGUUUUCUCGGGGUGUCAAUUUCAACUGUCACCAUCCUAAACAGGCAGUAUUUAUACAUUGCAUUUAGAUUUUUGAUAUAAUCAUAGCAUUGAACGAAUUUAUUUAAAAUGUUAUUUCAAUUCUUGUAAUACCUUGGUAUACUUUUUAUAGUCGAAUUGAUGGAUCGUGCUGGAUCUUAAUGGAUUUUCUGGGCAGUGAUUCUAUAGAACCCAGACCAUUGACACUGGUGAUAGAAUGGACAGUUUGCCUGGUUUAAUAUCUUUUUGUUUGUGUAUAUCUAGAUAAAUUCAUUGCUCAUUUCACCACAC
rnacentral:sRNA from 1 species